GCACAGCAACGGGUGGAGCGUGCGGUUUAAUUGGAUUCAACGCCGGAAAUCUCACCGGAGGCGACGGUUAUAUGAAGGCCAGGCUGAUGACCUUGCUUGAUUUUCCGAGAAGUGGUGCAUGGCCGUCGUCAGUUCGUACCGUGAGGCGUUCUGUUAAGUCAGCCAACGAACGAGACCCUCAUCUUUAGUUGCUACUAGUAAGUCCGCUUAUUAGGCACACUAAAGAAACCGCUGGCGAUAAGUCAGAGGAAGGUGAGGGCAACGGUAGGUCAGUAUGCCCCGAAUCCUCCGGGCUACACGCGCGCUACAAAGGCUAGGACAAUGGGCUUCAACACCGAAAGGUGACGGUAAUCCCGAAACCUAGUCGUAGUUCGGAUUGAGGAUUGAAACUCAUCCUCAUGAAGCUGGAAUCCGUAGUAAUCGCGGGUCAACAUCCCGCGGUGAAUAUGCCCCUGCUCCUUGCACACACCGCCCGUCAAACCAUGCGAGUUGGGUCUGAGUGAGGAUGUAGUUUUUGCUACGUUCAAACUUAGGCUUAGUAAGCGGGGUU
rnacentral:rRNA from 1 species